rnacentral:rRNA from 1 species
CUACUCCUACCGGGGAGGCAGCAGUAGGGAAUCUUCCGCAAUGGACGAAAGUCUGACGGAGCAACGCCGCGUGAGUGAUGAAGGUUUUCGGAUCGUAAAGCUCUGUUGUUAGGGAAGAACAAGUACCGUUCGAAUAGGGCGGUACCUUGACGGUACCUAACCAGAAAGCCACGGCUAACUACGUGCCAGCAGCCGCGGUAAUACGUAGGUGGCAAGCGUUGUCCGGAAUUAUUGGGCGUAAAGGGCUCGCAGGCGGUUUCUUAAGUCUGAUGUGAAAGCCCCCGGCUCAACCGGGGAGGGUCAUUGGAAACUGGGGAACUUGAGUGCAGAAGAGGAGAGUGGAAUUCCACGUGUAGCGGUGAAAUGCGUAGAGAUGUGGAGGAACACCAGUGGCGAAGGCGACUCUCUGGUCUGUAACUGACGCUGAGAGCGAAAAGGCUUAGAGCCUUU